rnacentral:lncRNA from 1 species
AAACAAAGUGGUCCAUGAAUCUCUAUAGAAUGUCAAAGUCUCAAUUAAUGGCCUCCCGCGUCAUUUCUGCAAGAUUUCGUAGACCGUUAUUGGAGCCAACGUCGGCUCAAAUGACUCGUCUCAUGCAUCGGCUCGGCUUCCGUGGGACCCGCACCCCGCUCCUACCUUAAUCCUCUCUGUCCUGUAUUAUGCAGGAUGACACGUGAACCCGAUGCUUAUUUCACACGUGUCACGUUAUGAUUGGGAGAGCUGGUUGAAGGGAUAGCCGUUUCCCACAUGGACGAAAUCAAGGUGGUGUGGAGGUGUGAAUUGGGACCAUCUGAUCUUAACUGCGUUCCUCGUCUUAAAUUCAUUAUUAUGGAACAGGUUC